rnacentral:sRNA from 1 species
GGCCCAUUCUCCUCUCCAAGUCGCCAAUUUCCCAAUCCCUCAUUCCACUACACUCCACCGACUUAGCCAGCUAGCUAGCUACAUGUGUCAACAAGCCUUUUCUGAAUCUCAGGAGGUAUGGAAGAAGUGUCUAUAUAUAUAUGGAUAUGGAUCUCUCCCUUUCCCCUUUUCAUCAAGACAUGGAACCGGUGAGAGGUAAGUAAGUACCAGUAAGCCGGAUGGAAUCAUAUCACCACCCCCCGCCUCCAGAUCCUCCCAAUCAGCAACAACGCAAUUUCAACCCUUCUCGGAGAUGAAUCGUUUCCCCAAACAUAUUUUUUUUGCAUGUAUUUGCAUGUCGUCCAACUCCAUAUAUGAGCACGCACUGUUGGCUGAGAGGAGCCUUCUCUCGUUGGUCGGGCGGACGGCGGACGGGGCAAGCCCAGCAUGUUUAAAAGAUAAGAUUUGACACAGGUGUUCGAACCCUAGCUAGCCAAUCAGGUCCCAACGGCUUAAUUUAUUGCCACGUGUGUUUCUCCGAGAGGCUGAAUGAAGAUCCAACCAGAAGGAUCUGUCAGUAUUUGUUCUUCUUCUUCUUCUUCUUCUUCUCUUCAAAAGCUAUAGAGCUGUAACUAUGAAUAGGCAUCAUGUCUCGAAUGGAAUGCAACUACAUUAAAAUAAGAAGUUAACUGGUUACUGCCCCUACUGCUCCUGUUACUACUUAUACAAAGGCAACUCCUCCCUCCACAGAUACACUCAUGAUUCAACCUUGGAAAAGCAUUGCUAUUACUAUUAUUAUUACUAUUUAUAUCUCCUUUGCUGCCAGAAGAAAAGCGUGAAGUUGAUGCUGAUUGUAAGCGAUUAAGGAAGAAGAACACCCUGGAAAUGGUCCCCCCCCCCCUCGCGUAAAUCCCACCAACCCACGAAAGAACAGAGCUCGGAGAAAUAGUACACAGCACCUGAACCACCUUUGCAACGUUGCAACAUCAUGGUGGAUGGUGGUGUGUAUGCUGGGGCCGUCAAGAUAUCUUACAAGGAUGACCAACAGGUCAGUGGACAGAGUGAGCUUCAGGAACCUGCUGUGCACGAGUAUGCUUCAUGAAAAAGUAAAUACUGUAGUAGCCACAAUUUAGAAAGGGGG